rnacentral:rRNA from 1 species
UCGAACGAUGAAGCCCUUCGGGGUGGAUUAGUGGCGAACGGGUGAGUAACACGUGGGCAAUCUGCCCUUCACUCUGGGACAAGCCCUGGAAACGGGGUCUAAUACCGGAUAAUACUCCUGCCUGCAUGGGCGGGGGUUAAAAGCUCCGGCGGUGAAGGAUGAGCCCGCGGCCUAUCAGCUUGUUGGUGGGGUAAUGGCCCACCAAGGCGACGACGGGUAGCCGGCCUGAGAGGGCGACCGGCCACACUGGGACUGAGACACGGCCCAGACUCCUACGGGAGGCAGCAGUGGGGAAUAUUGCACAAUGGGCGAAAGCCUGAUGCAGCGACGCCGCGUGAGGGAUGACGGCCUUCGGGUUGUAAACCUCUUUCAGCAGGGAAGAAGCGAAAGUGACGGUACCUGCAGAAGAAGCGCCGGCUAACUACGUGCCAGCAGCCGCGGUAAUACGUAGGGCGCAAGCGUUGUCCGGAAUUAUUGGGCGUAAAGAGCUCGUAGGCGGCUUGUCACGUCGGAUGUGAAAGCCCGAGGCUUAACCUCGGGUCUGCAUUCGAUACGGGCUAGCUAGAGUGUGGUAGGGGAGAUCGGAAUUCCUGGUGUAGCG